rnacentral:lncRNA from 1 species
UGUGCCACUUUAAUAUCAAACCCAGAAUAUUUCAUGGGAAAGAUGGAAAUGGAGCUUCCAGUCGGGAAAAGUCGAGGUGAAGCAGGUCGGUGUUCUGCUGCUAUUUCCGUAAGGGUGGAAGCUGUGCUGCAUGAUACAGACAUCGUGUAUUUAUACUGCUAUUGAAACACCUUCCAAGCAAAAACUUUUCAGUGGUCCCAAGUCUUCCUAAUAUGUGGGAAAUUAUCGGAGGAAAUCAGAGGAAAUUUUGAAGUGCUAAUCUGGAACAUCAAUUUUAAAAAACAAGCGCCAACCAAUUAAGUUCAAAAUAUUUGGAUUUCCCCCACCCAGUGCUCCAGUUUUGAUGAGCUCUAUUGAUUUCCUCUUGCGUAAGUCACUUUCUCGUAAGCAUACCUCGGGAGAGAAAUAAAUCUGUUUGGAUACACUAGGAGGUCAGGCUGCGUUUAGAUGGCACCACUCACGCUUUGUCCAGACUGAGCAUUUGGAAGAGCAAUACAAUUUAUUACUGAAUGAGAGGAUGCAAAGAGCAUCUAGGUUUAACUGCUCCAUAUUUUUUUGUUUUAAAAUAUUCCUGGCAAGCUGUUCCUUUCGGUUCCCAAAGCGCUAUCAGAAGUUGGUGGAAUAAUGCUCUUCCAUGGGUCCAGAAGAAGCCAGGAAGGGGCUCCCCUGCAGAGGCAGUAGUCGAUGUUUUGGAUAAGGUGUCCUGCAGCACGGUUAUGUGACACUUCUCGUGCAGCCCCAGCUACGUGAGACUGCUUGGAGAACUGCACCAUCCUCCUUUCUGGCUUGGGCACCAACCCCUGCCAGCAGCACGCAGACAACUUGGUGAUGCUCAUAGGAAGCUCCUGGGGGCAGAAGAGCUGUCUGAAAGCUGGCCUGUACCCUGCCAUCCCUCCCUCUGUGCCAGCCCCAUCCCUGAAAACAGAGAUUUCUGUCCUUUAAGUGGAUGGGGGUGGGAGCCUUGCUCAGUGUGGCAGUGUUGGUGAUGCUUGGGGAUGCUGAUGGAUGCCCGUGGCACCAUGAUUGUGGGCCAGGGCCUCAAGGAAAGAAACGUGAAGGCAGUGAUCAGAGAAAGUGUGCAGAAUUCUCCUGCUCUUUUCUUUUUCAGUUUAAUUGACAUUCCUGACCUUUUCUCAGGGCAGUUUCCACUGAGAAGCAGCACCAAAUAUCCCUCUCUUCACCUCCCUGUGACACACCUUGGCUGUCUCCAGGGAGCCUGUCCUCUCCCCAGCACCCUGCAGCAUCUGGGGAACAGACGUGGCAGCAGCUCAAGCUCCAAAAGGAGUGGAAUGAAAGCUGGAAAUAAAGCCAGACAGAGAGGAGCAUAUCCCAGCCGUAAUGUAAACAGGAGUGCUAUUAAGGAGUAGCUACAGGUGAAGCAACAAAUAUAUUUAUCCUCAAGAAUUAGAGACACUGAAAACACCUGCUGCUUUCCAGAAGGAUGAAAGCCAAGAAAAGAGAAUUCCUCUCAAGCCAGAAGAGAGGAAAUUAAAUAAGACGUCAGCGGCAAAACACAGCCCCAUUGCAGCACCAGCAGAGCGGCCUUGGUCACGUCCUCAGGGCCACCUGGUGUAGCAGCCAGCAGAGCAUCCAUCCCUGCAGCAGGAGCAUCGAAGCAGGGACUGGAAUACAAACAGCACAUUCAGCUUGGCAGGGUAGAUGGCAGUUUUAGGGAGCAGGGAGGACUUUACCUUGUCACACAGUGCUCCAGCCUUCCUGGCAAGCACACGAUGCAUGCAGGAGGCAGUGUCUCACAUCCUCCCCUAUUCCUGUCCCUGGCACAGAAGAGGCAAGAGCUCAGGCUCUCGCAAUUUGCAUCAGAGACCACUGCUGGAAAGCACACAGCAGAUUGGUGAGUUGCAUGAAUGCUGUUUAUUUUUCUUUAUGGUGGAAAAAAAAGCUGCUGUGGAGAUCAGGGUCCUAUUACUCAGUGCUCUGCAUGGUGUUCUGCUUGAUUUAAGUGGCAGAAACCUUAAUUAAACAGGCUUCUUAAUACUGCAGUUCAAACUACUGGAAAGAAACAUUUGUCUGGUCAAAGCAAACAGGGUUUGAUGAGUUCCCCUGAGGGAUCCAGGGCAUGGAACGAGAACGGCACAGAGGAGAUGCUAAGUCCAGCAGGAUAUGGCUGGAUUAUUCCUCUCAUACCCUUUAUAUCUUUCAAACCAUCUGUCCAGGCUGCAGUGAGCCUUGUAGCCCACAGAUGCAACUGAUAAACUGCAAGUUCAAUCUGUAGAAGAAAUCCAAAUUACAGCCUAGGUUCUCCUUGGGCUCCUGAUCUACCCAAGAGCAAAUCCAUCAGCUCCAAGGGGUAAUUUCAGAUUCAUGAAGCUGUGAAAGAACUCAGAAGAAGACCCUAAGAGCCAAAUUAUCCUGGAGGAUGGUCAUCUAUGAAGGCAAACCCUUGCAGUGUCACAGAGCUGCCCUGAUCAAAGCACUGCAUGGGAGGGCUUUUUGAGUGGAAAACAAGCAACUGGUGCUGAAUCAGUUCUGUGGAGUGGUGGUGAGGCUGGUGUGAAAUGGAUCACAGAAAUAGCUGCCUUUAAAACAUCAUUUUUGCCUUUGAUUUGCUUACUUCUUGCUGCUGCAUUCCCCAAAGUGGAAAUUUUAUUGCCACAAGCACUCUUCACACGGAGGUGGCAGCUGAGGAAAGAUUUGACUGAUUAAAUCUGCCGUCGUCUCUGGCACAGGCAAUGGCAAUUGCCUCAUGUCUUUCCCAGCCCUGAAAUACAGAUCUGUUCUUUUUGGUUCAACUUCUAUUCUCUUCCCCAAAGUUUUCCAUGAUCUUGCUCUGGAAGGGGAGAGGAGAGCAGAACAAUGUAUCUGACUCGCUGUCUGCAAGAGCCUGGAUACCAGCGCAAACAGGUCUGUUUAUUUUACAAGUGCCUGUACACAUAAUAUUAAAACCAAAUAUUGGUUCUGGAGCAGGGACUCAUAAUGGGAUAGUUUUUCACCUGAUAAAUAGCUGGGUCUGUGUGGGGAUUCAUAUCAGGCUCACACAAACAAACCUAAAGUCAAUAUUUGCCACCUCGCCUGUGAUCUGCCUGCUUCUGCAGCACCCCUUGCAGGGAGGCCGGGCAAGCGUCCUUCUGCGGCUUCACCUAGAGGCCAGGCGCUUCAUUCCUGCGCUACAUCAGUGAUAAAUCGAGGAACAAAAAUAGGAAAUAGGCAAGAAAUCACCAGCUCAGCUGCCUAGGGUAGGGUUUUCCCAAACGCUCCAGUUCCCCUUGGAGGCAGGACCAAGAUACGUUUGCUUUUCUCUUGCUGCUCUGCAGUGUGUGUGUGUGCGCACCUCGGAGAAAUGUCACCCUUCCUGACACUGCAUGGCUUCCACUUCAUCUGGAUUCUCUGUGCAAAAGGGAGCAGCCAAACAGUUUUAUAAUUGUCCCAACUUACCAACUAGCUGAAAGCUGGGGACCUGCAGGUUAAUAAAAAAAUACACAUCUGAAAAGCCA